rnacentral:rRNA from 1 species
GAUGAACGUUGGCGGCGUGGAUUAGGCAUGCAAGUCGAACGGUAUCAUCCUUUCGGGGGUGAGAGAGUGGCGAACUGGUGAGUAACACGUAGGUUAUCUACCCUCAAGACGGGGACAACCCAGGGAAACUUGGGCUAAUACCGGAUGUGAGCAACUUUUAGUUGUUUGAAAGGUGGCGUAAGCUGUCGCUUGGGGAUGAGCCUGCGUCCUAUUAGUUAGUUGGUGAGGUAACGGCUCACCUAGGCAAUGAUAGGUAGGCGGCCUUAACGGGUGGUCGCCCACACUGGGAUUGAGAUACGGCCCAGACUCCUACGGGAGGCAGCAGUCGAGAAUAGUCUACAAUGGUCGGAAGACUGAUAGUGCGACGCCGCGUGAACGAUGAAUCCCUUCGGGGUGUAAAGUUCUUUUAUAUGUGAGCAGUGCUUCUUAUAUUAACAGUAUGGGGAGAGAGAUAUUAGCAUAUGAAUAAGCAACGGCUAACUCCGUGCCAGCAGCCGCGGUAAAACGU